AGUGCAUCGCGGAUUCAGAAGUGUGUACAGUGCAGCGAUGGUCUCCUGGUGCAACGGCCUCUUCAGGGAGUAUUGGCUUUCAAUCUUAUUCUAACUUUAAUAAGUCCAGAAGUAGUGAAAGUGUAAAUUACUAGUAAUCUUCAAUAACACCAAUCAGUCUACAUGCCAUUAGAUCAUACUUGGAUAGAAGAGCUUACCGUUGUAGCUACUACUGUUAUAACUACAGGUAUGUCCUAUCGUACAAAACAUUUUGAACCUUCAAUGGCUAACUUAUAACAAAUAUUAGGUGCUUCAAAACAUUGUAAUCAGGGUGACCAGACCUGUCGUCACUUACUAUCAUUAUAUUACAAAAAAUAUUAAUUGAGAUUACAUAAUAAUUUCUUUGUUGAUUUUUGAAAUAUCUGAAAUCGUAAACAUCUCACCACAUUACUAAAUAAUCACAUAAAUAACAUUUGGCCAGGUCUGGUCACCUGGCUCAUUGAAAUAUCUUGUGCAACAUACUAAUUCAUUUAUUUUUCAUCGAACGAGCAAACUGUUCCUGCAUAAGUUCCUGCAUCACUGAUGUCUCACCGGUAUCCACUCUUAUUUGUGCUGCUGCGCGUAUUCACUGGAGUGAAGUCUUCAAUACUUAUUGAAUUACCUUUCGCCAAGAGUGUAUCAUGAAGGACAUUUUCAGAACAAUACAUAUAAUAUAACAAAGUGAUCAAAAUAUUAAAAUUAUUAAUUUUUCAGAUUCGAGGCCGUCAACUUUGAUGGUGUAAACAACAGUGCGACUGAUGCAGUGCAGGACAGCUGGAUAGCUGUUUCAUCUGUUUCAAGAGUGAAGACCGCUGUGUUACAAGUGAAAGUGCGAAAGUGUUCUUAGGGGGAUGAAAUAGACUUAGGGAUUAGAAUGUGAGGGAGUAGGAUUAGUUUAGAAUAGUGUUAUCAAAAUAGGAUACAGAGCGUAUUAUCAGAUGAAAAUUGAAACUCUAAGUUCAUUAAUUAGAAUACAUAAUGUUUUGUUUAAUAACUUUCGAAAAUGUCACUGAAUAUUUUGUUUCAAUUUUCAUCUGCUCAGACUUUGGCAGGAUAUAUGUUAUUUUGCGAGUAAACUUUAGAAAAGCUAAUCACAGAGGAUCUGUCAGGACUAGCUUAAAUAAAUCUGUGUUCUGCCAUAUUUUUAGGUCCAGAAGGUGAAAAUAGAAAAUUCAACUCAAGUAAUUAUGACCAUCUGGUCCUAAAAAUACAGCAGAAAGUAAAAAAAGAACUUGUAAACGCUUAGAGAUACUCCAUCUCAGCAAUUACAGUUGCAAAGAGAAAAACCGUGAGCAGGUGUUUAGGUGAUCAUAGGAACCGAAUAUAGAUAAACGAAAAUUGCCAUGAUAGCUAUAGUUUCCUAAUGAUUAACAUAACAUCUGUACAAGUUUUUAGACCUCUAGAUUAAAAACUACUUUAAUAGUAUUGUCAUUACGUUCAACAAGUUUUGUAUAUCCUUAAAAAAAGUAACUACCAUAGCAAUUUUUAUUUAUCAUUGUCAGUGACUUUUAUCGAGGUAUUUUACUUAAUUUUAAAGCGUGGAAAAGCAACAAUAAUUUUGAACAAUUAUAAAUAAUAUAAACUUAAAAAUACUUCAAUUUGUUAAUAUGCAAAUAAUUUAUAAUACUUGAAAGGAAAAAUUAUUGUUAAAUACUAAGGUAUAGCUUGAGUAACAAUGCUUUUCUAUACUUGAAAUUAUAC